UACCAGCACCCCGAGUGGUCGGGACGAUUAUUGGGCCUAAAGCAUCCGUAACCGGUCAUGCAAGUCCUCCGUUAAAUCCACCUGCUUAACAGAUGGGCUGCGGAGGAUACUACAAGGCUAGGAGGCGGAAGAGGCAAGCGGUACUCAGUGGGUAGGGGUAAAAUCCUCUGAUCCAUUGAAGACCACCAGUGGCGAAGGCGGCUUGCCAAUACGCGCUCGACGGUGAGGGAUGAAAGCUGGGGGAGCAAACCGG
rnacentral:rRNA from 1 species